rnacentral:misc_RNA from 1 species
UGCCGCCGACCGCCACGCGCAAGGUGGCGCCGGACGGCGGCUGGGCGUGGAUGGUGUGUCUGGGAGUGAGCUUGGUUAAUUUUUCAACACGAUCCCUAGAGCCGUCCUUUGGUCUUCUCUUCAAAGACCUGCUAGAAGACCUGGGCGUCCAGACGACUGGUGCUGCAGUCAUCGCCAGUACUCUCGACUCCGUGGUCAACUUCUCUGGUUUCUUCGUGGGCCCCGUCAUAAAAACCUUUUCAUACAGAAAGGUUUGCUUCGUGGGCUCCAUGAUAUGUGCCCUUGGACUUCUCUUCACCGCACCAGCGAACAGCAUGGCUCAUAUACUGGCCACGUACAGUAUAUUAGGAGGACUUGGAGUUGGUCUAGCCUCAUCAUCAUCUUUUGUAUCACUAAACCACUACUUUUCAAAGAAGCGUGGUCAGGCCGUGGGUCUGUCCAUGGCUGGGACGGGUUUUGGGUUGAUGGUCAUGCCACAAUUAGUCAAAAUACUGCUCGGAGAGUUUGGGUUUAGGUGGACAGUGGUGAUACUGGGUGGUAUGGCUUUCCACGCGGUGUUGGGGUCGUGUCUACUUCAGCCUGUUAAGAGACAUCUCAUAGAUGAGCCGAUUGACUGUGAGAUGCAACUUGUAAAGGAAAUGGAGUGCAUACAUGAAAGCGACGAGGAAGCCGAUGACAAGUUCGAGAUAAACCCACUCGUUACACGGGGCGUUCUGCCGAAGCUCACCAAACAGCGUUCCCAUGGAAACAUGAACCAUCCAUCCGUGAGGACCGUGGGUCUUCCGAGAGCUAAGACUUGUGACAAACCAUUGCAGGAGUUCGAAAUAAACGCCAAAAUGGGUACAGGGUUGACAACCGCCGCAUCGGUGGGCGCCAUGCAAAGGGUUAUCUCUAGCGGCAGUAUGAGCGAGGAGGCGAGGAAGAGAAAAGUAUCUGUGAUAUCAAAUAUAUCCAAUAUGGACUUUACUGGGAGCUAUUUUCAGUUGUAUCUUGAUACAGCAGACGAAGAUGCGUUACAAAUGAAGCCAUUAAAAAAAACGCAGCCAGUAGAGGAACAACAGAAGCAAGGCUUCUUUAAAAAGUUCAUCAGCCUUAUGGACUUGGAUCUUUUAAAAGAUUGGUCCUUUUUGAAUCUUUUAUUGGGCCUAUCAUUGUUUUGGAGUGGGGAGCUACAGUUUAGGAUGUUGACGCCAUUCUUUAUAAGAAGUUUAGGGUACAAUUUGAAUGACACGGCGUUUUGUUUGUCCAUCACCGCCAUAUCUGACAUUGGCGUGCGGUUGGUGUUGCCACCGAUAUUUGACAGGACCAACAUCACUAAGAAGAUGGUGUUCUUUGUGUCCAGUUUCUUCUUGGCUGUGACUAGAUCAGUUCUAGCAGAACAAACAGAAUGGAUUCCUCUGAUGAUUUGGUUGUCAAUAUGCGGGUUCUUCCGAGGCAUGUGUCUCAGUAACUUCACUCUGACCAUAUCUGAAUACUGUCCAUUGGAAAAGCUACCCGCCGCCUUCGGGCUACAUAUGGUCAGCAAGGGAGUCCUAGUUGUGCUGAUUGGGCCGAUUAUAGGUUACGUAAGAGACUACACUGGUAGCUUCGCUAUAUGCAUCCACGUACAAAACGCCAUGAUAAUGUCCUGCGUCGUAGUUUGGGGCAUAGAGUACGCACUGGCGUUUACCAGGAGACGCAAGGUUGUACAAAUAUAGUACAUGCUAUACUUAGUGCAAAGUUGCACAAACAUAGUACAUGCUGUACUUAGUGCAAGGUUGUACAAAUAUAGUAC